CCCUUAGAUGUCCUGGGCCGCACGCGUGCUACACUGAUGCAUACGGCGAGUACUUUCCAGCUCCGCGAGGCAGCUGGUAAUCAGCAAUAUGCAUCGUGCUGGGGAUAGAUCUUUGGAAUUAUAGAUCUUGAACGAGGAAUUCCUAGUAAGCGCAAGUCAUUAGCUUGCGCUGAUUAAGUCCCUGCCCUUUGUACACACCGCCCGUCGCUCCUACCGAUUUCGAGUGAUUCGGUGAACCUUUUGGACAGCGUCUGUCCUCGUGUCAGAUGCUGAAAGUCAAGUAAACCAUAUCACUUAGAGGAAGGAGAAGUCGUAACA
rnacentral:rRNA from 1 species